rnacentral:rRNA from 1 species
AACGUAGGUGGCGAGCGUUAUCCGGAUUUACUGGGCGUAAAGCGUGUGCAGGUGGCCUGUUAAGUGGUGUAUGAAAUCGCCCGGCUCAACCGGGCGGGGUUAUGCCAGACUGGCAGGCUAGAGGGUGGGAGAGGGAUGUGGAAUUCCGGGUGUAGUGGUGAAAUGCGUAGAGAUCCGGAGGACCCCCAGAGGCGAAGGCGGCAUCCUGGCCCACGACUGACACUAAGACACGACAGCAUGGGGAGCGAACGGG